rnacentral:rRNA from 1 species
AUGAUAACUGAUUCCUUGCAGUUGACGAAGAUGAUACCACGUGCCAAUGCUCCUGAGAAGAAGAAUAUCAUGGCUGGUAAGAUGGAGAAGAUAAAAGAAGAAGUCUGCAAGCUACGGGUCGACAUGGACGAAUUCAAUCUUAUGUCAUCUGAUUCCGAUGCAAGCAUUGAGCCACCAGUUACUGAUGUAAUAGAGAUUGAAGAACCAAUUAUUGUAGGAAGGGAUAAACAAAUACAGAGGAUAAUGGAAAGUAUACCUGUGCAAACAGGGCACUGCACCAUUGUUCACAUUUAUGGCCAGGAUGGCAGCGGCAAGACAACAUUAGCACGAAUGGUUUUCAACCAUACCAGAUUCAAAGACUACUCUCGCGUAUGGAUCCAAUGCUCUGGGAAUUUUCGCUUGCAUGAGAUGGGGAAGGCCAUAAUUUCUCGGGUAUCAGGGGAAGAGAUCAACGGUGAUUCAAAUGAUGACAUGGAGUAUGUAAGGAAGCGCCUUGACCAGCUACUUGAUAAUGGUAUUAAGGUACUUGUUGUUUUAGAUGACAUACAUCUAUCAUGGGGUGAUAGCGAAGAGUUGACAGAUCUGUUAAGGGAAAGGAACAAUCUUAGUGAGGUAAUUGUCGUAACAACGGGACGUGGACAAUUAUAUUUUGAUUCAUUGACAGAUGAGAUGGUAUGGAGUAUUUAUGACAUAAGGGUAUUUCAGAGUUGUAGUGCAUUGAGUGAUGAUAUGUGCUGGACAAUAAUCAAACAACGAAGUCACUUUGAAGGUAGAUCGUUUGACAAGCAAGCGAUGGAGCAGGUUGGUGCAGAGAUUGCAAAAAGGUGUCAGGGUUCACCAUUAGCAGCUGCGGUGCUUGGUGGCGUGCUACUCUACAAAGAUGCUACAGGAUGGGCAGAAAUACUGAACAGUGAUAUAUGGGCAUAUAACCACAUUGGUGAGCCAUUCCUCAUGUUGGCAUACACUAGCAUGCCGCCGAGCUUACGGCUAUGCUUGGCUUACUGUGCGAUGAUCCAAUAUGGUCACACUAUAGGUAAAGAUGAUCUGAUUUAUCAAUGGACUUCUCUCGGUCUUCUUGAAUCAGACAAAUUCUCUAUGAUACAACUUCGUGAGCAGUAUAUUGGGAUGCUUCUGGACAUGUCACUUCUUCAAACAGUGCCGGUUUCGACUAGUAGAAAUGGUGAUAAGAGUACAUUCUUGUUCACUAUGAACAAUAUGGUGCAGAGCAUUGCAAAACUAUAUAUGUGUGAUAUAUAUAAUACAAUGGAGACAUCUUAUCAGGGGGGAUUAUGCUCUAAUAGCGGCUGCCGUUAUGUGCUGCUUAACAAUUUCAAGUCAUCCAGUAAAUUAUCUUACACCCACAUAAGGGCGUUACGUUGUGUGGGUUCUGGCAUAAGGGAGCUCAUCGAUGAUUCGCUUCCAUUUUCGUGGUGCCUGCGUGUCUUGGAUUUAAAUGACAGAUCAAUGCUGAACUUACCAGAUUCUAUCUAUCAGUUGAGGCAUUUGGGAUAUCUUAAUUUAUCAGGCUGCUCUGGACUAGUUAUUCUGCCGGAGUCACUUGGAGAUUUAUUAAAUUUGUUGUAUAUUGAUUUAUCAGGCUGCUCCGGACUAAGAAAUCUACCUGAAUCAUUUGGGAAGCUAACAAAUUUGGCGCAUAUUGAAUUAUCAGGCUGCUCUGGACUUGCAAAUUUGCCAGAUUCACUUGGGAAGCUGACUAGUUUGAAGCAUAUCGAUUUAUCAGGCUGCUCUGGACUUGUAAAUUUGCCAGAUUCAUUUGGGAAGCUGACUAGUUUGAAGCAUAUCGAUUUAUCAGGCUGCUCUAGGCUUGUAAAUCUGCCAGAUUCAUUUGGAAAGCUGACUAGUUUGAAGCAUAUCGAUUUAUCAGGCUGCUCUGGAAUUGUAAAUCUGCCAGAUUCAUUUGGAAAGCUGACUAGUUUGAAGCAUAUCGAUUUAUCAGGCUGCUCUGGACUUGUAAAUCUGCCAGAUUCAUUUGGAAAGCUGACUAGUUUGAAGCAUAUCGAUUUAUCAGGCUGCUCUGGACUAGAAAAACUCCCGCAAUCAUUCGUGAAGCUAAUAAAUUUGGUGCACAUCAACUUAUCACAGUGCUCAGGACUAGUUAGUCUGCCUCUGUCAUUUGGGAAGCUAAUAUAUUUGCUGCACAUCAACUUAUCAGGCUGCUCUGGGUUGGUAAACUUACCGGAAUCAUUUGGGAACCUUGUAAAUUUGGUGCAUAUCAACUUGUCAGGCUGCUGUGGGCUAUUAAAUCUGCCUGGGUCAUUUGGGAAUCUAAUAAAUUUGUUGCACAUUGAUUUAUCGUAUUGCCACGGACUAGGUAAACUGCCGGAAUCAUUCAGGAAGCUCAAAUUUUUGGUACACCUAGACCUAUCAUUCUGGUCUUGUUUUGAAGGGGUCGAGAAAGCUCUUGGUGGCCUUACCAAUCUCCAGCACUUGAACUUGUCACACCCUUGCUGUUAUCUUGCUCAACAACAGUCCUGUCUCGAAGGGCUAAAAGAUGUCCUGGGCAAGCUCACCAAACUAGAGUAUUUGAACCUAUCCAUGUUCCUGAAUCCUAUCUGUUACUCAAAGACAGUAGAGCGAACUCAUGAAUUUAUUGAAUGUAUCAGUGUCUUUUCGAGUCUGGAGCAUUUGGAUUUGUCUCAUAAUAAAUUUCUCCAUCAUCUACCUGAAAGUUUAGGUGAACUCAACAAUCUGCAAAGGCUGGACCUCUCAGGCUGCAUGAGACUGAAGAGCAUAGCCAAAAGGAUAGGUGAAAUCAAGUCUCUUAAGUCAAUACAUGUGAGGAACUGCCGCAGUUUGAAAAGUUGUCAGCUUGUGGUUAAAGCUGAUAACGGAGAAACAUAUAGGAACACAAACAUUGUUGAGCUCGAGGAUGCAAACUUGGAAGAGCUUGAGAUAAGCUGUCUUGAAAACGUGAAGACUACAAAAGAUGCGGAGCGAAUAAGAAUGGCACUGGAAGGAAGGACUCAAAAGUUGAAACUUUGCUGGACUGUGGGCUCCCAAGUAUCCAUGGAGGGCAAUACCCUGUUAGGAAAAUUAUUGCCAUCACAUCUGCAGUGCCUUGAGCUACAUGGUUAUAGUGACGAGACCCGCCUUUCAGCCUGGUGGACAUCAACCACAUAUGGCGAGACCUGCCUUGCACCCUGGUGGACAGCAACCAUAUCUUUUCGUGUCUCUACUCUUGUAGAGGUUACCAUUGAGGAUUUCCCGAGGUGCAGCUGCCCACCACCACUGUGUUUGUUACAAAACCUGCGGAGAGCAGUUUUCAGAAGGAUGGCUAGCAUUACAAGAUUCAACGUCAAUGACCUCACUGAUGGAAACCGAGCAGCAAUCCAUCGACUCCCCAAGUUCACUCUAGAGUUGGAUGAUAUGGAAAGCCUGGAAGAGUUCAAAACAACAUAUGACAGAAGAGGUAAGGAGUGUGUGCUCCCGGCCAUUGGUGAACUGGUUAUUACGGGGUGCCCCAAGUUGUGCUUUGGACCUUUCACGCCUAGAGCUCGGAGGUUGGUGAUCUCAGACUGCAGCAAACUAAUGGUUUAUUCCUGGUGGAACAGAGGAGGCCAGAGUGUGGAAACCCCUAUUACCUCUGUUUUAGUAAAUGAACUGGUGGUCAAAAACUGCAACCUAGCUCUAUAUAACUGGACUUUGCUUCACAGCCUCCCUGGCCUCUAUAGUUUAACUGUCAAAGAUUGCCGUGAUCUGAAGACUUUACCACGGACUUUACCACAUACUAUUGAGGCCCUAUCCUCCCUCCGGUCACUAUGCCUGUCCAAUUGCUUGAUGGAGCCACUAGAACAACACUUGGGUGACCUCACCUCUCUCCGGGAACUGAAGAUCGCGUCCUGCAAUAUGUUCAAGGGAUUCACGCGGAGUUUGCAAAGACUCACCUCCCUUGGGUUGAUGCAUCUUAGUGACUGCAACAGUAUCACAUCACUGCCGGAAUGGUUAGGAGAUCUCACCAAUCUUGAGAAGCUUGCCAUCCACAGAUGCCCUGCCAUUGAAUCUUUGCCGGGCAGCAUAAAUAAACUAACCAACCUGAAGGAUCUGCAUAUUUUGGACUGUCCAAAAUUGAAGGGCUGGUGUGAAAGGAAGGAGAACAAGAAAAUAAUGGCUCACAUCCGACCAAACUAUGAAGAACAUGGUACUAGCAGGCCGGGUAGCAAGGACGAGGGCGAGGUGGUGCGUGAAUUGAAGGACUGGUCGGACUGCAAGGAGGAGGAUGAGGAGGAAGACAAUGACGGGGAGGAGGAGGAGGAGGAGGAAGACGAUGACGAGGAGGAGGAGGAGGAGGCAGUAUUAGCGGGUGCAUUGGAAACUUCAGUGGUGACAGACAACACGGAUGUAGGACAGGCGGAGGCAGUAUUGCCGGAUGUAGUGGAGAAUCCAGUGGUGACAGGCAACACGGAUGCUGAAGAGGAGGAGGCAAGGAGGGAUGUGGAUGCAGCAGCGGCAGCUGAUGUAUGCUUGGAGCUGCGAUUGGGACUUCCCAGUAAUGAAGAACCGGUCCACAUCAGAGAAGAAGAUGAAAUUUCUCUAAGGCUGUAUUUAUAA